rnacentral:lncRNA from 1 species
AGGCACCGGCUCUGCGAGCGGCGCACCGGUUCCCCCGGCCCCGCCAGCCCCUAAGUGCUGCUGGAGCUGAAAUUGGGCAGCGCUGGCCAAGGCUACUCAGUAACAGCCUUGAUCAUAAAUGAUUAACUGCACACCAGGAGAAUAAGAGCUGGGUCUUUCCAGGCGCAGCCUUUUAUCCCUGGUAUCCUCGCAGCCAAACACGCUGAGCCAGCGUUGCGUUUGGUCAUGAAAUGUUGCCUUACGCUUCUGCGCGGGCUGUGAAAUGCUGCUGUGUGUGCUGACAUACUACAAGGUAGGGACGAAGGUUGCUGUGCCCUAGCUACUGUUUCUGCACCAACUCAUUCGUUUGUGGAUUUAUUUUAUCAGCACCAAGAUAAAAGACCGAAUUCAAAAAACUCCUCAAGCAUUUUCUCAAAUCAACCAGAAGUGGUGCCUUCCUCAUCCAAAGGAAACAUUGAACUCCACUCUUUACUGUGGGCUGGAGGAUAAAGUUGUCUUUGCAGGAGAUAUCGCCUCUUGGAGAGGAUAGAAAAAUAAGAACAGAAACUGGAGUCAUUUACAGUGGUGAGAACUUUUAUAUUUCUCUUUGCUAAUCAUUAUGUGACUGGCAUGUGACGAAGUAAGCUUGGAAACUCGUAAGUCACACUUUCAACCUUUCCUUUACAACAGAGCUCAUUGCUGAGCUGUCUUGCUAAAGCUGAUCAGUGUCACAUGCUACAGUGAUUGCAGGAAAAAGUGACAAAUGCAACAAUUGAGAAAAUAGUGCUUUCCAAAUUCCUUAUCCUGCAUCUUUGUCAUCUUACAAAGACCAAAGAGAUUAGUGGAUAAUUG